rnacentral:rRNA from 1 species
UACGGAGGGGGCUAGCGUUGUUCGGAAUUACUGGGCGUAAAGGGCGCGCAGGCGGCUGCUCAAGUCAGGCGUGAAAGGCCUGGGCUCAACCCGGGAAUUGCGCUUGAGACUGGGCUGGCUUGAGUGCGGGAGAGGAUGGUGGAAUUCCCAGUGUAGAGGUGAAAUUCGUAGAUAUUGGGAAGAACACCGGUGGCGAAGGCGGCCAUCUGGACCGCAACUGACGCUGAGGCGCGAAAGCCAGGGGAGCAAACGGG